UGCAAGUCGAACGGAGUUUACAGGCAGAAGUUUUCGGAUGGAAGCUUGUAAACUUAGUGGCGGACGGGUGAGUAACACGUGAGCAACCUGCCUAUCAGAGGGGGAUAACGAUUGGAAACGAUCGCUAAUACCGCAUGACAUAGCGGAACCGCAUGGUUCUGUUAUCAAAGAUUUAUCGCUGAUAGAUGGGCUCGCGUCCGAUUAGAUAGUUGGUGGGGUAACGGCCUACCAAGUCGACGAUCGGUAGCCGGACUGAGAGGUCGAACGGCCACAUUGGGACUGAGACACGGCCCAGACUCCUACGGGAGGCAGCAGUGGGGGAUAUUGCACAAUGGGGGAAACCCUGAUGCAGCGACGCCGCGUGAGGGAAGACGGUCCUCUGGAUUGUAAACCUCUGUCUUCGGGGACGAAACGAGACGGUACCCGAGGAGGAAGCCACGGCUAACUACGUGCCAGCAGCCGCGGUAAUACGUAGGUGGCAAGCGUUGUCCGGAAUUACUGGGUGUAAAGGGAGCGUAGGCGGGCAGGCAAGUCAGGCGUGAAAUAUAUCGGCUCAACCGGUAACGGCGCUUGAAACUGCAGGUCUUGAGUGAAGUAGAGGUUGGCGGAAUUCCUAGUGUAGCGGUGAAAUGCGUAGAUAUUAGGAGGAACACCAGUGGCGAAGGCGGCCAACUGGGCUUUUACUGACGCUGAGGCUCGAAAGUGUGGGGAGCAAACAGGAUUAGAUACCCUGGUAGUCCACACC
rnacentral:rRNA from 1 species